rnacentral:rRNA from 1 species
GAAUUUAAGCAUAUUAGUAAGCGGAGGAAAAGAAACUAACUAGGAUUCCCUCAGUAGCGGCGAGCGAAGCGGGAAGAGACCGAGAUGAAAAUCCCUUUGGGGAGUUGUAAUCUGGACAGUCUUGAGAUAUCAGUAUUGGUAAGUUGCAUGGAAUUGCAUACCGUGGAGGGUGAAAGUCCCGUCCAACCUCUACAGGAUGUUCUCGCACGAGUCUGUUUCAACCGAGUCGGGUAGCUUGAGAAUGCUGCUCUAAGUGGUGGUAAACUUCAUCAAAGUCUAAAUACUAGUGGAAGACCGAUAGUGAACAAGUACCGCGAGGGAAAGAUGGAAAGCACUUUGAAAAGAGGGUGAAAAGAACCUGAAACCGUCACGGGGGAAGCGGAUUGCGUGAGUGUGGUGUGGUGUCUGUUCAGCUGCGACUUGUCGUGGUGUAUUCAGCACUAGCCGUGCCAGGGUGGCCGCUCUGAGUUCAGAUGUUGUGGACUUGAGUGGUGAGGGCUCCCAUUUCUUAUGGUGAGGACUUUGGCGAAAUGACGCGACCCGACCCGUCUUGAAACACGGACCAAGGAGUCUAGCACAGCUGCGAGUCGAAGGGUGUUGUUAAACCCCAAAAAAGGGCGAAGUGAAAGCAAAAAUGACACAUGAAAAAUUGUUGUUGGAAAUCUGAUACAGAUUAGGGAGGUAUGGCGUCGUUGACAAUAUAUCCUACCCAGAGCAGUUGUGCUGGGACCCGAAAGAUGGUGAACUAUUCCUGAAUAGGGCAAAGCCAGAGGAAACUCUGGUGGAGGCUCGAAGCGAUGCUGACGUGCAAAUCGUUCGUCAAAUUUGGGUAUAGGGGCGAAAGACUAAUCGAACCAUCUAGUAGCUGGUUCCCUCCGAAGUUUCUCUCAGGAUAGCGGACCGAUGAUGUUGAAAAGUUGUUUUGUGUGGUAAAGCAAAUGAUUAGCGUAUUAGGGGGUGUAAAACCUUCUGUCGAUUCUCAAACUUUAAAUACGCAAGAAAGAGGUUGUUGUUGGUUGUUAUUGUUGUUGAAAAUUUUGUUGGAUGAAAAAAAAAUGAGUUGAAUUUGAUGAUGAUGAUGUUUGUUGCUUGAUUGAACACCUCUAUUUUGAAAACAUCGGUCUUGUGGGCCACUUUUGGUAAGCAGAACUGGCGAUACGGGAUGAACCGUAAGCGCGGUUAAGGCGUCAAAUUGUACGCUUAGAGAUCCCACGAAAGGAGUUGGUUCAUCUAGACAGCAGGACGGUGGCCAUGGAAGUCGGAAUCCGCUAAGGAGUGUGUAACAACUCACCUGCCGAAUGAACUAGCCCUGAAAAUGGAUGACGCUUAAGCGGACAGCCGACACCGCGCCGUUUGGGUAAACAGCGACCUAAAUGAGUAGGAGGGCGUGGCGGUCUUGUUUGGAAGGUCAAGACGCGAGUCUGACUGGAACGGCCGCUAGUGCAGAUCUUGGUGGUAGUAGCAAAUAUUCAAGCGGGAUCCUUGAAGGGCGAAGCGGGGAAGGGUUCCAUGCGAACAUUGAUUGGGCGUGGGUGAGUCGUUCCUAAGCCGGGUGGUAAUCGUUCUUACGAAGCGGCGAAAGGGAAGCGGGUUAAAAUUCCUGCACACGGAUGUGGAGGCGGUGACGCAAAUUGAGGUGAAGACAUCAGCGGUUGCGCUAGGCAGAGUUUUCUUUUCUGUUUGACCUGUGAGAUGCACGGUGUGGAAUCCGAUUAUCGGGAGAAACACGAGCCGAAACGGGCAGAGCGUCGGGGCGUCCCCGGCGUCUAGUACGCGAUCGAUGGUCCUUGAAAAUUCAUCUGCAAUACAAUUUCACGCCGUGGCGUACCGAUAACCGCAUCAGGUCCCCAAGGUGAACAGCCUCUGCUCAAUAUGAACAAUGCAGGUAAGGGAAGUCGGCAAAAUAGACCCGUAACUUUGGGAUAAGGGUUGGCUCUAGUGGAGUGGAGGAUUGAUUCAUUUCGAUUUAAAUGGACUGUGAGGCUUUGGAUGAUUGCUGGCUGGGCUCUUGGCUAGUCUGUGGAAACGCGGAUUUCGGCUGUGUCUGGCUGGCUUUCUUGGUCUGAGGCUUUAUGGUCUGCCUUCGGCAUGCUCCAGACUAGAACUGUAACGGGCAAAGGGAAUCCGACUGUUUAAUUAAAACAAAGCAUUGCGAGGGCCAUGGAUCGGUGAAGACGCAAUGUGAUUUCUGCUCAGUGCUCUGAAUGUCAAAGUGAAGAGAUUCAAACAAGCGCGGGUAAACAGCGGGAGUAACUAUGACUCUCUUAAGGUAGCCAAAUGCCUCGUCAUCUAAUUAGUGACGCGCAUGAAUGGAUUAACGAGAUUCCUACUGUCCCUAUCUGCUUCUAGCGAAACCACAGCCGAGGGAACGGGCUCGGCGAAAUCGGCGGGGAAAGAAGACCCUGUUGAGCUUGACUCUAUUCUAAUUUUGUGACGCAAGUUAGGAGGUGUAGCAUAGGUGGGAGCUGUGUUUUGUCUACUUUUCUUCGGGGAAGUGGAGCCUUCCAGCGACAAUGAAAUACCACUACUCUUAAUCUUGUUUUACUUAUGGCGUAAGACUGCAGGGCUAUGUUUUUGUUAAUAUGGUCUAUUGUGUUUUUAUACACUGUUUUUCUGGCAUCAAUCUGGGUUACUGGCAUCUCUUCUGUGGGGAGGAGAUUUGUCACCGGAGAGCAGCGCGCCUGACAUAUUUAGGAGGGGAGUUUGGCUGGGGCGGCACAUCUUCUACAAGACAACGAAGGUGUCCAAAGAUAAGCUCAGUGAGGACAGAAAUCUCACGUAGCGCAAAAGGGUAAAAGCUUGUUUGAUUUUGAUUUUCAGUGUGAGUUGAAAACACGAAAGUGUGGCCUAUCGAUCCUUUCACUAUUCGAAGUUUGAAGCGAGAGGUGUCAGAAAAGUUACCACAGGGAUAACUGGCUUGUGGCGGCCAAGCGUUCAUAGCGACGUCGCUUUUUGAUCCUUCGAUGUCGG